rnacentral:rRNA from 1 species
AUUGAGCGCUGGCGGAAUGCUUUACACAUGCAAGUCGAGCGGCAGCGCGGCCUUCGGGCUGGCGGCGAGCGGCGAACGGGUGAGUAAUGCAUCGGAACAUGCCCAGUCGUGGGGGAUAACACUUCGAAAGAAGUGCUAAUACCGCAUACGUCCUGAGGGGGAAAGCGGGGGAUCGCAAGACCUCGCGCGAUUGGAGUGGCCGAUGUCAGAUUAGCUAGUUGGUGGGGUAAAGGCCUACCAAGGCGACGAUCUGUAGCUGGUCUGAGAGGAUGAUCAGCCACACUGGGACUGAGACACGGCCCAGACUCCUACGGGAGGCAGCAGUGGGGAAUUUUGGACAAUGGGGGCAACCCUGAUCCAGCCAUUCCGCGUGAGUGAAGAAGGCCUUCGGGUUGUAAAGCUCUUUCGGCAGGAACGAAACGGUGGGCUCUAACAUAGUCCGCUAAUGACGGUACCUGAAGAAGAAGCACCGGCUAACUACGUG